UGAACUUGAACUUGGUGAUGAAAACCAAUGAUAUGUGAAUUAGUGUAUUGGAAACACUUAUAACUUGGACGAGUGGCAUGUAAACAAUAUUUAUAACAUGACGAGUGGCAUUGGAACUUAGUGUAAUAGAAACACUUAUGGCAUUGAGCAUAAGGAAUAGAUGAGUUUCCUUAGUUGUGGCAUAUUGCAUGAGAAUUAGUGUAAUUGAGACACUAUGGCAUCAAACAUAGGGAUAGUUGAACUCCCUAGUGUGAGUUGAUUAGGGUGGUUGAGACACUUGACAUGGACCUAGGGAUAGGUGGAGUUCCGAGUGUUUGUUAACCCUAGUUGAUAGAGUAUCCUCAGUUGGCGAGGAUUGGAUCAUACUCACAUAGUCUGUU
rnacentral:lncRNA from 1 species